GGCGUGCUAUACAUGCAAGUCGAACGGAGUAUUAAGAGAGCUUGCUCUUUUAAUACUUAGUGGCGCACGGGUGAGUAAUGUAUAGUUAAUCUGCCCUACACUGGAGGACAACAGUUAGAAAUGACUGCUAAUACUCCAUACUCCUUCUUAACAUAAGUUAAGUCGGGAAAGUUUUUCGGUGUAGGAUGAGACUAUAUUGUAUCAGCUAGUUGGUGAGGUAAUGGCUCACCAAGGCUUUGACGCAUAACUGGUCUGAGAGGAUGAUCAGUCACACUGGAACUGAGACACGGUCCAGACUCCUACGGGAGGCAGCAGUAGGGAAUAUUGCUCAAUGGGGGAAACCCUGAAGCAGCAACGCCGCGUGGAGGAUGACACUUUUCGGAGCGUAAACUCCUUUUGUUAGGGAAGAACCAUGACGGUACCUAACGAAUAAGCACCGGCUAACUCCGUGCCAGCAGCCGCGGUAAUACGGAGGGUGCAAGCGUUACUCGGAAUCACUGGGCGUAAAGGACGCGUAGGCGGAUUAUCAAGUCUUUUGUGA
rnacentral:rRNA from 1 species